UUUCCGUAGGUGAACCUGCGGAAGGAUCAUUAUUGAAAUAAAAACUUAGUUGGGGGUUGCUGCUGGCUCUCAGGAGCAUGUGCACACCCGCUCCAUUUUUUAAUACCACCUGUGCACACACUGUAGGCCUGAAUGAACUUUUUCGAGGUUUAAAGACUUUGGUUUGAUAACUGCCCUUGGGCUGUUCUUGUGUUCCCAGGUCUAUGUUAUAAACAAUAUACUCCAUAACAAGUAAUAGAAUGUCAAAUUAUGGGCCUUUUGUGCCUUUAAACCUAGUACAACUUUCAACAACGGAUCUCUUGGCUCUC
rnacentral:misc_RNA from 1 species